rnacentral:rRNA from 1 species
UUGGAGGGCAAGUCUGGUGCCAGCAGCCGCGGUAAUUCCAGCUCCAAUAGCGUAUAUUAAAGUUGUUGCAGUUAAAAAGCUCGUAGUUGAAUUUCGGGAUCAAUUAAUUGGUCGUGCCUCUGGUACGUACUGAUUUUAUUGGUUUCUCCCUUCUGACGAACCAUGAUGUCAUUAAUUUGGUGUCGUGGAGAAUCAGGACUGUUACUUUGAAAAAAUUAGAGUGUUUAAGGCAAGCUAACGCUUGAAUACAUUAGCAUGGAAUAAUGAAAUAGGACGUUUGACCCUAUUUUGUUGGUUUCUAGGAUCGACGUAAUGAUUAAUAGGGAUAGUUGGGGGCAUUAGUAUUCAAUUGUCAGAGGUGAAAUUCUUGGAUUUAUUGAAGACUAACUACUGCGAAAGCAUUUGCCAAGGAUGUUUUCAUUAAUCAAGAACGAAAGUUAGGGGAUCGAAGACGAUCAGAUACCGUCGUAGUCUUAACCAUAAACUAUGCCGACUAGGGAUCGGAUGAUGUUAAUUUUUUAAUGACUCAUUCGGCGCCUUACGGGAAACCAAAGUGUUUGGGUUC